CUGGAUCCGGUUUGGUUCAGUUCAGAUCGGAUUCACUUUGGUUUAAGUUGAAUCCUUUAUCGUUUGGUUCAAACAGGAUCCGGUUUGGUUCAGAUCCGGUUUAGUUCAGUUUGGUUUGAUUCAAGUUGAAUCUUGUUUGAUUCGGACCGGAUCUGGUUUGGUUCAGAUCUGGUUCGGUUUAGUUCAGAUCGGGGUUUACUUUGGUUUAAGUUGAAUCUUGUUCAGUUCGGGCCAGAUCUGGUUCGGUUCGGAUCUGGUUCAGUUUAGUUCAGAUCGGGUUCACUUUGGUUCAAGUUGAAUCUUGUUCGGUUUGGUUCAAACAGGAUCC
rnacentral:lncRNA from 1 species